GCAGAACAGAAGCAAAGGUUUCACAGCCAGAAGGUCCUGCACCUAGGAGCCUAGAAGCCUGUUUUCUACUUCAACCCGGCUAAGUAUUGGAGGUUGAGCCUGAAAAGUUUGCCAUGAGUUCAAGGACAGCAUGGUCUUGAUUUUCAUUUUCCAAUUCUUCGGUGUAUGUAUUCAAAGUCAAAGACUCAUCCUAGAGAACACCUGAGAACAUUCAGCACACCGGCUUUCUACAGAGCCUCAGCUCCGGGGCAGCCUUCCGGAGGCCGUAGAGAAUGAGGACAAAUGGGGCGUGGCAGCACCGGAAGCCGCUUUCCCAACGACGUCAAAGCUGAACAGGCAAGGACUCCUGUAUCCUAAGCUGGCCUCCAGCUCCCUGUGUAGUUAAGGAUGACCUUGAACUCUGGAUCUUCCUGCCUUUCAUUUCCAAGUGAUGAGCUUAUAGGAAUAUACUACCUGUCUAGCUUAUGUGAUACUGCAGAUUUAGGUAUCUACUCUCCGGUUUGUAGAAUUUCCUUCCUUCCUAUGUAUAUAUACUUUCCUUUGUAUUGUUACUGUGGAGGGGACAUGUGUAUGUGCCACAGUAAUGUAUGGAAGUCAGAAUACAACUCUUAGGGCCCGACAACAUGGCAUAUAUGUAUAUAUGUAUAUAUAUUUAA